AGCUGCUGCAACCCGCUGCCCUCUGGUGUCCUGCUGUGGGAGCUUUGUUCUUUCACUCUCGUAAUAAGUCUUGCUGCUGCUCACUCUUUGGGUCCGCACUGUCUCUGUGAGCUGUAACACUCACCGCGAGGUUCUGUGCCUUCGUUCUUUAAGUCAGGGAGACCACGAACCCACCGGGAGGAACAAACAACUGUGAUGCGCCAUCUUUAAGAGCUGUAACAUUCACCGCCGGGGUCUGCGGCUUCAUUCCUGGAGUGAGUGAGACCACGAACCCACCAGAAGGAAGAAACUCUGGACCCAUCUGAACAGCUGAAGGAACAAACUCCGGACACACCAUCUUUAAGAACUGUAACACUCACCGGGAGUCUCCGUGGCUUCAUUCUUGAAGACAGCGAGACCAAGAACCCACCAGAAGGAAUGAAUUCCGCACACAGUAAGAUUUCUAUUUUUAAAAAAUCUCUGGGCUGUAGAACGGGAAAAAAAAGACUUGGAAGGCAAAGCUGAUAGUAGGGAUACAACACCAGUUAAUAUUUCAGUUGUUGUAUUAUAGGUAAGGGCUAGAGUAUUGGCAUUGGAGAGACGGACUAAAUUCUCAGCUCCAACCCUUACCAGCUUGGGCAACAGCACAAAGUUAAACCAGGAAGUCCCUCUGCCUUGCUAGGGAUCCAGGUUUGCCUUCCUGUUGAGGUAUCCCAUUUCAUUACAGUUGACCUAAGUUUGAACAAACACUGCCACCUGAUGCAUGAAAGCUCUACUGUGACCUACGUUAAAAGGAGCUGACACUCCCUCAGGCUACCUUAGUCAGUGGGGGCUUACUGCAGCAUACCUGUGGCGAUGAGAGAGAGAGGCACAUCACAGGAGCAUCUGGCACCAGUGGCAUCCUGAAUUUAAGAUGAAACAAUAGAGAAAGAACCAAGAAGUUACAUACAUUCAUCAGAAUUGCUGGAGAGUCCUGACCUCUGGCCAUCGAUCAAAGGGAAGCGUUCACUACUGAAGGUUUGUCUUCACUGUACUGGGUAUUCAACUUCCUUGAAAUUAAAAGGAAGAAGGAUAAAAAGUGGUAUGCUGAAUGGAUUAAAGGUCUUUUUGCCUGAUGCAGAAUAUUGGUACAUAUGCUGGGGUCAACAUUUAAUGACUCUGGGUCUUUUUCUUGAGCAGAAUCUAAGGGAUAGUCUUUCAUUUUAUAGAUGUGUUUUAGAUUACUCAUAAAUUCAUUACUUUUUCCUCACACACAUUAUAACAUCUCUUAAGGCUCUGCCCAUUGACACGAAUCUCAGGAUUAUUCUAUAAUGUCUCUCUUCUCUGGGGUGUCUUCUUUCUGGGGAGAUUUGUAUAUCUUGGAGUCUGAGACUUCACUAUGUACUCCUUCCUUAUCAUCAUUUAUAAACCUAUUCAACAGACUCUGCCCCAGAAUGGAUUCUUGAGCAAUCUUGAAUAAUUACACGAGUAUCCAAAGAUACUGAUUUUAGGAGAACAAGGUUGUUGGGUACAGGUAGUUAAUUAUUCCUAAAACUGAAUAUGUCCAAUACCUAUGUCUUGAGAAGCUCUAAGAGAGUAACAGAAGAGCAACAAUGGAAUGUGACAAUUGCCUGCACUGUCUUUCUAGGUUGAAAAUCCAAGAAAUUUACAUGCACUGAAUUUUAUUUCCUUUAUUUGCCUAUUUAUUCACACCAAGAAUUCAGGGUCCAUGUUGCUGUAGUGGAAAUUGGUUAUUUCUGUUUUAGUCUUGAAUUGUCUAAUUUUGUUCAACUUGCCUGGUACGGAGGGGAGAUUCACCAGUGGGCCUCACCUGUAAGUGAGGGUCACAUCUGUAAUUCUCUGAUCUCGUGAUGCAGAAGUAGGCCACAUCUUCCAUUUUCAUCCUUGGAUUCCUGUGGAAUUUACAGAUGCACAGAUAGAAGUCAUUUAGUCUUAGAUAGAUACCUUCAUCUGCUUUGUCAAUUGAUGAUGAAUAAGACUGAGUUGAAUGUAUUUAGAAUGUCUUGGCUAUAAAUUCCUCCAUAUAGCUUAACCCACUGUUUCCUGCAGUAUGCACCCCUUUACCAAGAGAGAGAAAGAGAGAAAGAAUUUCAUGUUUCUGUGGGUUUUAGAAGGCUAUAGGAAGGGAUUUUUGUUUGCUCAUUUUCAGAACUUAUUAAUAGACAGUUAUUGAAUACCUACCUUGGGCACAGAAAUAAUCACAUUCUCUCCUGAGAAUUUUCAACCCACAGCCAAGUACAGGUGUGGAAAUUUGAUGAUAGAAUUAAUACCAAUGGAAAAAGGGGCCCACAGAACUGAAAAAGUGGCCACUGGUGAUGACAGUGACCUGGGAGGGAGCGAGGCA
rnacentral:lncRNA from 1 species